rnacentral:rRNA from 1 species
AGAGUUUGAUCCUGGCUCAGAAUCAACGCUGGCGGCGUGCCUAACACAUGCAAGUCGAGCGAGAGGAAGUAGCAAUACUUUAGUAAAGCGGCGCACGGGUGAGUAACACGUGGAUAACCUGCCUCGAAGUGGGGAAUAACCCCGGGAAACCGGAGCUAAUACCGCAUAAUCUGACGAGAUCUGUGGAUUUUGUCAGCAAAGGAGCAAUUCGCUUUGAGAGGGGUCCGCGGCUGAUUAGCUAGUUGGUGAGGUAAUGGCUCACCAAGGCCACGAUCAGUAGCCGGUCUGAGAGGACGGUCGGCCACACUGGAACUGAGACACGGUCCAGACUCCUACGGGAGGCAGCAGUGGGGAAUUUUUCGCAAUGGGGGCAACCCUGACAAAGCAACGCCGCGUGGGUGAUGAAGUAUUUCGGUACGUAAAACCCUUUCGACGGGGACGAAACCGCAAGGUUGACGGUACCCGUAGAAGAAGCCCCGGCUAACUCCGUGCCAGCAGCCGCGGUAAUACGGGGGGGGCAAGCGUUGUUCGGAAUUACUGGGCGUAAAGGGCGCGUAGGCGGUUUGCUAAGUUGGAUGUGAAAACUCUGGGCUUAACCCAGAGCCUGCAUCCAAAACUGGCAAACUUGAGUACUGGAGGGGAAAGCGGAAUUCCUGGUGUAGCGGUGAAAUGCGUAGAUAUCAGGAGGAACACCGGUGGCGAAGGCGGCUUUCUGGACAGUAACUGACGCUGAGGCGCGAAAGCUAGGGGAGCAAACAGGAUUAGAUACCCUAGUAGUCC